AAUAUUGGAAGUCAGCGUUACUUCAAAUUCCUAUUUCCUCCUCGGAUAUUAGUAGUAUCGAUCAAUGGAUAAUCUCCUGUAUGCAUCUGCAAAGAGAUGGACAAAAGAUAUGAAAGAACCAAAGUGACUAGAGAAAGUAUUGAAAUGCUUUUGUACUAAAUUCUCGGUCAGUUAGUCGAGUUAAUAAUUUUAAUAACCUUGCUACAGGUGUUCAGGGCGAUGGAUUCAUGGCUAGUGGCCUCACCAUAGAAAACACGGCUGGUCCUGAUGCUCACCAGGCAGUAGCAUUUGUAUCGGACAGCGAUCUAUCCAUAAUUGAGAACUGUGAAUUUCUUGGCAACCAAGACACUCUUUAUGCCCAUUCACUUCGCCAAUUCUACAAGUCGUGUCGUAUAGAAGGAAAUGUGGAUUUCAUAUUCGGAAACUCUGCUUCAAUCUUCCAAGACUGCCUCAUUCUACUCCGACCCCGGCAACUCAAACCCGAAAAGGGAGAGAAGAAUGCCGUGACAGCACAUGGGAGGAUAGACCCCGCCCAGACAUCGGGCUUUGUUUUCCAAAACUGUGUGGUAAAUGGUACUGACAAGUACAUGGAAUUAUAUUAUAGCAAUCCAAAGGUACAUAAAAAUUUCCUGGGAAGGCCAUGGAAGGAGUUUUCAAGAACAGUAUAUGUAGAUUGUGUUAUGGAAGCUCUUAUUACUUCAGAGGGGUGGAUGCCUUGGAGCGGCGAUUUCGCAUUGAAAACUCUUUAUUAUGGAGAAUUUAGGAGUUCCGGGGCCGGAGGAAAUUCGUCCGGGCGAGUGACAUGGAGCAGCCAGAUUCCAGCUAAUCAUGUUUACUCAUAUUCUGUGCAAAAUUUCAUUCAAGGUGAUGAGUGGAUUCCAACAUCUUCAUGAUUAAUUUUUAUUACAACUUGCUGUGGCAUUAGUCUGUAUGUAGGAGUUAGAAGUGAGUGGCCUGGAAAUUCAAGUUCCCGUGUAAAUUACAAAUAACUUAAAAUAUAUUAUUCUCGUAAUGUAAUUUUAAAAAUUAUGGUCAUUGGUUAAGAAAAUGAUUUAUAUAUCGAGUAAUUUUUUUUGUGUCAAAUGUGAAUUGCGACUAACGACUAACGUGGAUGUAUUGGUAUUUCAAUUCUGUGUUUACACGUUUACAUAAGUUACUAAGGGGGCUGUUUAUUUAUUUAUUAAUGGG
rnacentral:lncRNA from 1 species